rnacentral:rRNA from 1 species
AUUGAACGCUGGCGGCCUGCCUACCACAUGCCAGUCGAGCGAGCGACGGACGGGUGAGUAAUGUCCGGGAGCCUGCCUGAUGGAGGGGGAUAACUACUGGAAACGCUAGCUAAUCCCGCAUACCCUCCGAUGUGCCCAGAUGGGAUUAGCUAGUAGGUGGGGUAACGGCUCACCUAGGCGACGAUCCCUAGAUGGGCUGAGAGGAUGACCAUCCACACUGGAACGGAGACACGGUCCAGACUCCUACGGGAGGCAGCAUGGGGGAAUAUUGCACAAUGGGCGCAAGCCUGAUCCAGCAAUGCCGCGUGUAUGAAGAAGGCCUUCGGGUUGUAAAGUACUUUCAGCGGGGAGGCGUUACCCGCAGAGGAAGCACCGGCUAACUCCGUGCCAGCAGCCGCGGUAAUAC